AGUGAACGCUGGCAGUAGGCCUAACACAUGCAAGUCGAACGGCAGCACAGGAGAGCUUGCUCUCUGGGUGGCGAGUGGCGGACGGGUGAGGAAUACAUCGGAAUCUACUUUGUCGUGGGGGAUAACGCAGGGAAACUUGCGCUAAUACCGCAUACGACCUACGGGUGAAAGCAGGGGAUCUUCGGACCUUGCGCGAUUGAAUGAGCCGAUGUCGGAUUAGCUAGUUGGCGGGGUAAAGGCCCACCAAGGCGACGAUCCGUAGCUGGUCUGAGCGGAUGACCAGCCAAACUGGAACUGAGACACGGUCCAGACUCCUACGGGAGGCAGCAGUGGGGAAUAUUGGACAAUGGGCGCAAGCCUGAUCCAGCCAUACCGCGUGGGUGAAGAAGGCCUUCGGGUUGUAAAGCCCUUUUGUUGGGAAAGAAAAGCAGCCGGUUAAUACCCGGUUGUUCUGACGGUACCCAAAGAAUAAGCACCGGCUAACUUCGUGCCAGCCGCCGCAGUAA
rnacentral:rRNA from 1 species